rnacentral:rRNA from 1 species
UAUAAAAAUUCCUUUAAUUCUUUACAACCCCUAAUUUGUACUGAAUGGUCUCAUGACUUCAUGAGAGCCUAUAUGUUAGAACUAGUAACAAGAAGAAGCCCUUCUCCAAAAUGUAAGCAUGAGCCGAAACGAACAAUUCAUCGGCAUUUAAAGUUAAUAAUCCCCUAGUAGUAACUUUUCAAGAAAAACCUACUAUAUUUAACGUCAACCUUACACCAGCUCAUUUAUGGAAAGAUUAAAAGACUAGGAAGGAACUCGGCAAAUAAUUAACCCCGCCUGUUUACCAAAAACAUCGCCUCCUGACUUCUAUAGGAGGUCCAGCCUGCCCAGUGACAAAGUUAAACGGCCGCGGUACCCUAACCGUGCAAAGGUAGCGCAAUCACUUGUUCUUUAAAUGAGGACUAGUAUGAACGGCAUCACGAGGGUUAUGCUGUCUCCCUACUUUAUUCAGUGAAACUGAUCUCCCCGUGAAGAAGCGGGGAUAAAAAUAUAAGACGAGAAGACCCCAUGGAGCUUUAAACUCAGUAUCAACUGCCAUAAUUAAAACCUAAUAUCCAAGCAGCAUAUGACUACUAGUUUUCGGUUGGGGUGACCACGGAGUAAAACCUAACCUCCAUGAUGAAAGGAAAUAAUGACCUAAAUUAAGAGCUACAACUCUAAAUAUCAUAAAAUUGACUAAAUUGAUCCAAUUAAUUGAUCAACGAACCAAGUUACCCUGGGGAUAACAGCGCAAUCCAUUUCAAGAGCUCUUAUCGACAAAUGGGUUUACGACCUCGAUGUUGGAUCAGGGUAUCCCAGUGGCGCAGCCGCUACUAACGGUUCG